GGAAGAGAUGCCCCUGAGAAGAAGGAGAAGUUUUGCGACCCAAUGAGCUCAUGAUGGUUCACUUCAAUGAAACCUGCUGUGUCCUCUUGUGGAAUCAUUCUUCCCACUUGGGUACUCAGAGCCCCUAAAACAUCCGAACAAAGUUCUUUGAGUUGGACAGGAUCACAGGCAGGCGGAGUGUAGAGGUGCUGCAGCCCAGGCUUCAGGUGGAGGGCUUCUUGGAAGAAAUCCAUCCAGCAAAGACUGACAGUGCAGUGAGACAUGCCCCAGCCUCCCAGCCAACUCAGCAGAGCCUCCUCCUCAUCACCACCACCUCUUAAAGCAGCCGGGAGCCAAAAGCUGGGGUACUGCACCCCCUCCCACCUCUGUUGUAAAGAUUGCUUUUUCUUUUAAUAAAUAUUUCCUGAAGUGCUGCACAAUGAGAAUGUGACACUGAGUCCUUCCCUAUGAGACAUCCAGCUGUGGGGACAACGCCUCCAGGGAGACUGCAGACUCGAGUUGAGUGCCCGUCCAAGGGACUCUCAAGAGUCUUCUCCAGCAUCAUGAAGAGGAAAAAGAGGGACAAAGUUUGCGCUGGAGAGAGGACGAAAGCACUAGAGAGAAGAUGGUGGUCCAAAUCCCCCAUCACUAGUGGAAGCUCGAACACCUGGGGGCCCUCGCGUAGGAGUCGGAGCCGUGAAGAAAUUGCACCUGCUGCUGGAGGUGCCACCUGUGAUGGAAAGAGAGAGCAGUGCGCCAGCCUCUCCCUGCUUCCCCUCCUGCCUGGACCUUCCAACGGCCACACUCCACUGAGAGCGGCUAGCAGAGGAGCCUGGAGAAGACAACCAGCAGGCUGCAUUUCAAAGGAGCUAAAAGGCAAGGAGUGGCUCUGAACACAGACAGGCCUAGGUGCAGAGGCUCCUUUAAUGGUUAUAGACUCAGGUGAUUGGUGCCACCUAUUGGAUACAAUGUAAAUUCAGCACCACGGCAAGAAAGGUCUUUGCCAAGCUAGACCACUUCCGAACAUUUCCUGCUACUCCCUUGUCCUGGUCAGGCCCUUACUUCCUUAUUCUAGGCUUUCAGUCUUGCUUCCUCUUCCCCUAACAUCCUUUGCUCAUAACCAUCCCCUUCUCACUUCUCAUUUCUCCUCGACCUGCUUCCUUCUCUUCACUCCAUGCUUCUCCUUUUUCCUUCCCUUCUUUCCUAUUUCCUACCUUUCUCUUCCCACCCAGAUCCCUCUCUCCAUCUUUCUUUCCUGCCUAUUAAUGAGCAGACUGAAGUCCAGGUCUUUAUGUAGAUUAGUUAUUGUUUCCUAAUAACUAUUUCUUAAACAAUCAAUGAUUAAAAGAUAUUGUAACCACUACCCCUCCUCCCAUCUCCAUACCUAGGAAGCCCCAGACUUAAGAUCUUAACUGAUUAAAAUCAGCCCAAACUUUCUUUACUGAGCCACUAGAUGUCAUAUUGAUUUCACAGCAGAGUUGGGAAGCCCUUGCAGGAGCUCAAACCUGCAAAGAAAGAAGCAUCCUCACACUUUACUUGCAUCUAAAGUAUCACAGCCAGACUUCUGCUUACAGUCAUGACUGAAUAAAAUUUUACUGGAUGGGGAUUUCACUAGUGGUCCAGUGGUUAAAACUCUGCGCUUCCAGUGCAGGGGGUGUGGCUUUGAUACUUUGUCGGGGAACUAAGAUCCCACAUGCCCCAGGGCACAGCCAAAAAAAAAAAAAAAAAAAACGAAAAAAGAUUUUACCGGACGGACAUACAUAAAAUGGAAGCACUGGAGAGUAACUAGAAGCAGGUGGAUUUGGGUGGGAAGUCCAUGUAUAGACACAGAAGUGAUGGAAGUGAGCUCCCAUCUGCUGUUUUGCGCCCAGGGGGUGCUGUGCAGGCCAGUGGCGGUGCUGAUGGAAAAGCUGCCAUCUUUCUGGCCCAUGAGAAACAAGAUCAAGUGCAGGGCAACUACAGCUGAUGAAGGGGAGGAGGAUUCCUGGAAGGGAAAGGCCAGCGGCCAGAGAGGAGACCCUCAGAUUCUACCUGGUUGUGAAUAGUUGUUAAGGCUACUCUGUUUAGGCUUUCUUCUUCCUUGUGAGCUAUAGUUUUCUAAGAAUUUAUCUUUUCUAUCUACGCUUACAAAUUCAUUGGCAUGAAGUUUAUAACUAUAUUUUAAUUUAUUAUACUUUUAUUAAUAUCUGUAAGACCUGUGUUAAUACUCCUAUUUUCAUUCCUGUGACUCUUCGUAUAGUUGGUUGGUUUGGUUCUCUCUUUGCUAGGGCUUAUAGAUUUCAUCUGUAUUUUUGAAAAACCAAUUUUUGACUUGUUCAUCUCCUCUAUUGUGUUCACUUUCUACUAAUAUCCCAUUACUUUGCCCUUUAAUAGUUCCUUCAUUCUAUGUGUAUGUGUGUGUGUGUGCACACUUAUUUUGAUCUUAACUUCAUGAAUUGAAUAGUUAGUUACUUUUUGGUCUUUUUUUCUAAUACGGACUAUUCUCCACGUUAGUCUAGUAAACACUGCUUUGGCUGCACUCCACAUAUUUUAGUAAGUCGUAUUUCUUUAACAUCCAGCUUUCAAUAUUUAAUUUCUGGGAUCUUUCUCAUGGGUUAAUUAGAAAUAUUUACUAAUUCCCAAAUAUAUGAAAGCUUUUCUAAAACUUCUUUUAAAAUUGAUUCGACCUUAAUUACUUUUAAGUCACAGAAUAUUGUGUGGUAUUAUAACAAUACUUUGGAAUAUACUGAGACUUGCUAAAUUUGGCAAGUACAUGGUUUUCAUACCAUUCCAUGUGGCUGAAAAAAUAUGCAUGACAAUUUUGGGAGACAGAGUAUGCAUAUAAUCAAUACUUUCAUUUUUUUCUACAUAUUUCUUGGAAUUUGCCUGCUUGUUCCACCAACUACUUAAACAGAUGCAUAGUUUUGAAUUUCUCCUUGCAGUUCUCCACUCCCUGAGAAUUAAGGAAGUUUUAUUAAGAGCACGUGUGUGUGCGCUCAGUUGCUCAGUCAUGUCAGACUCUGUCACCCUAUGGACUGUAGCUCGCUAGGCAUCUCUGUCCAGUAGAUUUUCCUGACAAGAAUGCUGGAGUGGAUUGUCAUUUCCUCCUCCAGGGGAUCUUCCCAACGCAGGGAUCGACCCAUGUCUCCUGCGUCUUCUACACUGGCAGGCAGAUUCUUUUACCACUGAGCCAGAAGGCAAGCCCUAUUAACAGCACACCAGUGUACAAGUAUCUCAUCUUCCUGGUAAAUUUAACCUUUCAUCACAUGAAGUAACAUCUUUAUUAAGAUUCUCAAAUAAACUGUUUGCCCUCCAGUCUUUUUUUUUCAGGUUCUGCUUCUGGGGGAAGCUAAACUAAGACAGUUGGUCCGCUGAGAUGACGUAGCAGCAGAGUUACUAAGACUGUCAGCUGCCAGGGGCUUCCCUGGUGGCUCAGUAGGUGAAGAGUCCACCUGCAUUGCGGGAGUGGUGGUUUCAUCAAGUUGUGUCCAACUCUUGCAACCCCAUGGACUGUAGCUUGCUAGACCCCUGUGUCUAUGGGAUUCUCCAGUCAAGAAUACUGGAGGGGACUGCCAUUUCCAUCUACAGGGGAUUUUCCUGACCCAGGAAUCAAGCCCGCGUUUCCUGCAUUGCAGGCAGGUUCUUUACCGACUGAGCUAUGAGGGAAGCUCCCUCAUACUGACUGAGCCUUUCGGGAGACUUGGGUUCAAUCCCUGGGUUGGGAAGGUCCCCUGGAGAAGAGCAUGGCAACCCACUCCAGUAGUCUUGCCUGGAGAAUCCCAUGAACAGAGGAGCCUGGCAAGCUACUGUCCAUAGGGUCACAAAGAAUCAGACAUGACUAAACGAGUAAGCACCUGUCAUAAACUGGCAUUGGUUCCACAAAGAAGGGGAUGCCCUACCUUACACCAUCUCUAGCAUGCUAGAGCAAUGGGUGGCAUUAAUUAUGAUUGGUUGGUGGUAUUAAUAGGUUGGUUGUUGCUAAGUGCAAUUGGUGCAAAGAGGAAGAAAAUGCCAGGCUCAAUUCAGGGCAUGGCAUAAAAGAUCUCCCUGGCAGCGUUUAAAGAGAUCCUUAGCUCAGGCAGUUGAAGGACAGACUGUGCUAAAAAUCAAGCCAGAAAUUAGAAAUAAAGCUGAAUUUACAGCUCUCACGUUUCCUGAGGCCCUAAUAGAUAAGGGGUGGGGCACCGAAACACAGAGUGGGAACAUCUGGGUGGAACCCUGAGAGCGCUGAACCUCAGAUUUCUCCAAAGCUUCCGGGCUAGCAGUCUAAUCCCUCUGCCUGGAGACCACGGUAAGGCCUCAUUUGAAACAGAUGCCUCACAAGAUGAAGUGUUUCCUCCCCCCAGUCCUCUCCGUCUCAUCUCAUUGCUUUCAGUAAUUGCUUCUAGCAGACUGACUCUUUGCUAGUUACAACCACCUAGAUAAAACUGACAUAUGCAGCAUUAAAUAGAAGUAUCUUCAAAGGCAACUAAAAAACACUCUAAGGCUUCACAAGCUUACACAACACUUGUGCCUUCUGAGUUGGAAUUGUAUCAGUUGCUCACUGAUGACUUAACAACAGCAGCUAAUUUGGCCGUCAAUAGGCAGUAGCCAUGCUAAUUAGAGUCCUCAGUCAGCUGUAAGGCAGGAAGAAAUGAUAGGGGUUCCCAGGGACAUUUCUUGAUUCUCAAUCUUAAAAGAAGGCUUAUUUACUCUCCCCUGUGUGUCUUCAAUCUCUCUCCUCACUGACAUUAGUUUCCCUAGCAUGUCACUCUCCCCGCUGAACUCAAGUUAACUGGAACUGCAGGCACUAACAAGGAUGUUUUUGAUGUGCUAAAGCAUCUUGUUUUAGAGGAAGCGCAGAGCCAAAGUGCCACACAAUCAGCACCAGAGCCAGGACUGCAAGGGAGGAGGGUUUUCCACUUCUAAAUUCUUGCCACUUACUAGCUUUCAUGAUCUUAACAAGGAUUAGCUUCUCUGGGCUCCCAUUUCCUUGUUGGAAAAUUGGAAAUGAUUCUUUUACUCAAGAGGAUGUGGGUUAAAGGAUGUCAUGAGUGUGAAGGGAACUGGCAUAUAACAGGGCCUCAGCAAAACAGCCCAGUUCCCUUCCCCCUGCCUGGAUAGCUCACUGAACAACCGCCUUCUCUAGAAUGGUAGCUUGCUAAACACAUGCCUCUUCCAAAGAAAAUGGAACCCAAUAUUUUUCUGUUUCCACUUGCACAGUGCCUUGGGAUUUG
ensembl:lincRNA